GUGGGUAUAGCUCAGGGGUAGAGCAUGUGCUUAGCAUGCACAAGGUCCUGGGUUCAAUUCCCAGUACCUCUG
rnacentral:tRNA from 1 species